GGGGAAUCUUCCGCAAUGGGCGCAAGCCUGACGGAGCAACGCCGCGUGAGUGAAGAAGGGUUUCGACUCGUAAAGCUCUGUUGUCGGGGACGAAUGUGGAGAUGGUGAAUAACCGUUUCCAAUGACGGUACCUGACGAGGAAGCCACGGCUAACUACGUGCCAGCAGCCGCGGUAAUACGGAGGAUGCGAGCGUUAUCCGGAUUUAUUGGGUUUAAAGGGUGCGCAGGCGGCGCGAAAAGUCAGCGGUCAAAGUUCCGGGCUCAACCCGGUGACGCCGUUGAAACUUUCGUGCUGGAGUUCGUGCGAGGGAGGCGGAAUGCGUUGUGUAGCGGUGAAAUGCAUAGAUAUGACGCAGAACCCCGAUUGCGAAGGCAGCUUUCCAGCACGCGACUGACGCUGAGGCACGAAAGCGUGGGGAGCGAACAGGAUUAGAUACCCUGGU
rnacentral:rRNA from 1 species